rnacentral:hammerhead_ribozyme from 1 species
AUCCAGCUGACGAGUCCCGAAUAGGACGAAACGAGCACUAAACUGGAU